CCGGGUUCAAGCAGUUCUCCUGCCUCAGCCUCCCGAGUAGCUGGGAUUACAGGCACCUGCCACCACCCCCGGCUAAUUUUUUGUAUCUUUAGUAAAGAUGGGGUUUCACCAUGUUGGCCAGGCUGGUGUUGAACUCCUGACCUCAGGCGAUCCACCUGCUUCGGCCUCCCAAAGUGCUGGGAUUACAGAUGUAAGGCACCGGCGCCCAGCCUCAAAGCUCAUCUUCUAAGGCAUGCAGAAACUCAGUCAGCUCCACAGAUCUGAGGUCUAAAUGAGCAGUGCAACCUUGCUUAUGGAGACUCGGGUAGGCAGGGAGAACAGAGUCUUGGCCCAGGCCACCAAGGAGGAGGCAAGAUGCCAGAUGGAGAAGGGGUUGCCCCAAGCCCCAGGUUGACAUGGAAGUUGGGAACAGCCAAGCAGAGAAUCUCAGGAUCUCCAUGGAGGCUAAGAACCUUUCAUUGGAGAUUCAACUUUUGCAAUAAGCAGUGCUGGGUUACAUAAGUGCCUAAUUAAGACCCUUGGAACUAAUUAUAUAGGACAGAGAGGAGGUGAUGGUGAAGACGUGAGAUUCUAAGCUGUGAUGAUACUUACCACAUGAGAGAAUCAAGACCCACCGAUGAACUCCUGGUAGUAGAGAGAGGAUAGGCAGAUAGACAGCUAGCUAGACAGAUAGAUAGAUGACAGAUAGAUAAUUGAUACAUAGAUUAUAGAUUCAAUAGAUA
rnacentral:lncRNA from 10 species